GUGUGGUUCAACAUGAUGAAAGGGCCACUACUACUCGUAACAUGGACUACUUAUCUCUUGAAGAAUUAGAAAUAUAUGAUGGAUGCCCAGGAGUAUCUUGUUGAGCUGAGAUAUGCAUGAAAAUGGAAAGCAAUCGAGUUGCAAUCCUCACUGGCUUUUCAAAAUCUGAUGAGGAACAAAAUUAUGAGAAAACACAUGAAGACUCUCUGCGUAAGAUCCCCAACUUGACCCCAUUUGGCAUGCAUUGUGUAUUUUGAGAUUUCAAGAAUGACCUUAUCAUCUUCCAACAAACUCAAGAAAUGCAUGCUCUGAUGUGUUGAAGUUGAAGAUUUCGAGAAAGAAUGAAAGCUGUAGCAGAAAACAUAGGGCUGAGAUCUCUCCAAGGUGAUUGUGGAGAGGUUUGCCAAUUGACCUUAGUGAAAUCAAAAAAGAAAAAUAGUUCAUUUGUGUUUGGAGGACGGCCUUCAUCUGAUCUGACCACAUGGAAAAGCUCUCCUUGUGUUGUUGAAGAAUUCUUCAUCUCAAACAAGAUAAAGUAAUGUUAAACCCUGGGGGGCACGUUGUCGUUUGGUUUUCUUGCAAGAAAACUUUAUCGGAUGAUGAUGAAGUUGUUGAGAGUUCCUUUCUAUGUAAUGCCAUAUGCAGCCAGUUUGCUGGCCUUUGUCUAUGAAUCCUUCAAAGACAGCCAUGGAUUGUUUACUUAAACCUGUUAAAGCUCGUAUUGUUGAAGUUCAAUUUCCUCUUGUCCCGCAUUGAAAGAUUGUAGCUUUGUCUAUGAAUCCU